rnacentral:rRNA from 1 species
UGCAAGUCGAACGAUGAUCCCAGCUUGCUGGGGGAUUAGUGGCGAACGGGUGAGCAACACGUGAGUAACCUGCCCUUGACUCUGGGAUAAGCCUGGGAAACUGGGUCUAAUACCGGAUACGACCAUCUGGCGCAUGUCAUGGUGGUGGAAAGCUUUUGUGGUUUUGGAUGGACUCGCGGCCUAUCAGCUUGUUGGUGGGGUAAUGGCCUACCAAGGCGACGACGGGUAGCCGGCCUGAGAGGGUGACCGGCCACACUGGGACUGAGACACGGCCCAGACUCCUACGGGAGGCAGCAGUGGGGAAUAUUGCACAAUGGGCGCAAGCCUGAUGCAGCGACGCCGCGUGAGGGAUGACGGCCUUCGGGUUGUAAACCUCUUUCAGUAGGGAAGAAGCGUAAGUGACGGUACCUGCAGAAGAAGCGCCGGCUAACUACGUGCCAGCAGCCGCGGUAAUACGUAGGGCGCAAGCGUUAUCCGGAAUUAUUGGGCGUAAAGAGCUCGUAGGCGGUUUGUCGCGUCUGCUGUGAAAGACCGGGGCUCAACUCCGGUUCUGCAGUGGGUACGGGCAGACUAGAGUGCAGUAGGGGAGACUGGAAUUCCUGGUGUAGCGGUGAAAUGCGCAGAUAUCAGGAGGAACACCGAUGGCGAAGGCAGGUCUCUGGGCUGUAACUGACGCUGAGGAGCGAAAGCAUGGGGAGCGAACAGGAUUAGAUACCCUGGUAGAAGGGC